rnacentral:misc_RNA from 1 species
CAGGCCAGGCCAAGCAGUUUUGGCUUGGUUGGUUGAGCUGAGCGAAGCCGGGCCAAGCUGAGUACAAUCCACUUUGUGUCAGGCCCGCGUUACCCACGUGCGCGCUGAGCCCGUUGACUGUCAUAUUUGGUUCGAUAUAAUGUUCGCGCUAGUUCGCUUUCUAGAUAGUGACCAUGCACAUGACACUCGUAGAUAUGUUGUGCGAGUGGAGGAUAUCCAUGAUUUUCAUCCGAAGCACGAGACGGAUUUCGAUGGCAAGGCAGUGUAUGUCGUUCACUGGGAGGAUGAAGCAAACGGUGACGACACGGGUGAAUAUAAAGCCCAGAUACUUCGACUUGGCGCCACAGAGAAAGAAGCUCGGGAAUCGCCAAAAAGAAUUCCGAUCCCUAAAAUUGCAGUUGAGGAAGGCUCGGACGUUGAAGGAGCUGUGACCAAGAAGGCCACUGCUGCAAGAAUGAAAAAAACAGCUGUCAACCGAACUGCAGCAAAAAAAGACCGGUACGAGCAGAUCUUGAAAAAGCAGAUGAGCCACGCUCUCCGACAGAACUCGGAACAAACUCGAAAAACGCGACUGAGUUCAUCAUCAAGCUCGGAUGACUCUCUCGUGUCCAGCUCAGAAGUAACAGAAGAGAAGAAAAAAACCAAAUUUUGGAAAAAGAGAUGCAAGGAGCUGCGGCAAGACAACAUCUUCUUGCAAGAACAAGUUAGCUCACAGCAGGUGCUGUUAAACUCAAAAUUUCUGAGGUUUGAAGACCUGCAGCACAGCAAAGAGGCUGACGUUGAGAGCUGCACUGUACAAGCUAGAAAGGAGACAGCAAAGGCCACAAGCAACCUAGUAAAGUCCAUUCAAGAGACUGUGCCUGGGUCACCGAAUGCUGGCAGUCUACACUCACGAAGUGCCAUUGAUGACUUCAUAGAGGAACCUCCCACUUCGAUGACUGCAUGUGCAGCAAAAGAAUCUGAUGACCUGCCUAGUCCAAGGAAAUGUUUUUCAUAUUUAGAAGAUGGCUCUAUCCCUUCACAUUGACAUCCCGUAUAAUCAUGUGAUUUUGGGACAUGAAACCCAUGAUAUUAUUAUAAGCCGUGUGAAACAAACUGCCUGCCGAACAGCUCAGAGGUGCCUCCACAAUAACGAUGUGCAGCUACUUGGCAUGUUGCCAAUGACAGUGGUGCAAAACAGCAGCAGUUGUUGGUAAGUUUGUGAAAUCUUCUGCAGUACAUGUUACAUUUUAGCUUCUAGAAAGUACAGGUGGCUUGUAUACUUGCCCUUGUCAAUUUCGGUAGCUAGAUAUAUUACCAAUACCACAGAUAAUUUGGACAUUUAGAAACACUAUAUGAGGUGGCAAAAGCAUGUGCAUAUCCGAAUACAAAUCGAAUAGUGGCCCUGCGAAUAUUUUAAUUCGUGAAUUGAAUAUGUGCUCUUCAAAUUCUCAAAUACUGAAAGUCGGCAACACCUACAUUAUGGAACAUGUAAUAAUUACAUAUGCCCUAAAUUGUAGUAUGCAUUAAUCAUCAUAUAUAGGUUGACAUCUGGUGUGUAUGUCUGCUAACAAAAAAUUAAAUACAGGGCUACCAAAAAUAUUGUUUAAAGUACCUGUAUCUAGACCGCUGCUGUCUUUUUGCCAAAGUGGCGCGAAAAUGCCUCCUCUCUCACGUGAAUAUCCGAUAGCGUGCGGUGGCAAAGCCAAGGAGCAUUUCAAAUCUCUUACAUAGUCCGGUGCUCACCAGCUGGUAAGCAUACAAUAAACUGCAGUGAUGCAAGGCUGCCCCCCCCCCUUCCCCACACAACCUGUUUCACAAGUCAAGUAAACAAAAAAAGAAACCAUGCUCAUUACCACAUUCAGAAAAAAAUUAUAUUGCACAAAAACUUGUAAUAAUAAAAUUUUUGCUAUUCAAUAUUUGUACGCCUGCUAAGUUGAACUUCUUUGUCAGCCAAUAAUAAUUACAGGAACAAGAUGUUGCAUCGCUCUCUUCCUUGAUAUUUACAGUUUCAUCUUCAAAAGGGCAUCUGCCUGACGCCUAUUCAGGCAAAAAGAAUUCUGUCUCACAAGAAGGCAAGGCUGGUGGUGAAGGAAACGGCACAAGCCAUAUGGUCCCAGAAAGGGCUAGCGUCACGCAGUGUUAAAGGUGGCGUAGCUCCAGGAAGAAGGAACCUCGGCGAGGUUGCAAAGCCUGCGCUGACACCUGAAAAGGUCGCGGUUCUGGAAGAAACACUCAACCAUUGGUCGCAUGUGACAGGCGCCGACUCGUCCAUUGCAGCCCGAAACUUGACCAGCAUACUAACUGAAAAAAUUCAGGAUUGCAUCAAGGCAGAGCGACGAAAACCUCCACAGUAAAUGUACUGCGAAAUGCAUUCAAUCCAUAGAUAACCCAACGAAGACCAAAGACUAGGGCUGUGCAAUGUUUUUUCUGCAUUAAUAAAUAGAAUCGUCUCAUAUACACUCAACAUAA